UAAAACAUUAAUUACGUAAAUAUCAGUAACUGUUACACUUUCACACAUUUCACUAUUAGAAGGAAAACCUUAUUUAUAAAAUUAGUUAGGUUAGUCGGUGGUAAAUUAUACUCGAUCAAGAGUGUACUUGUAUGAGCAUGUUCUCCUUGCCAAUUUGUCGAUUCUGUAUUGAAGGAUUCUUAAUCUGUGGUAGUAAGGUUGCAAGCAUAAAGUUGUUGAAUCCAAACAGCUUUUAUAAAUAAUAGCCAUGUCCAUACUCCGGCAAAUUGGCAAAAAGCAUUUCGAAUUAGCAACUUAUUGGUUACCUUCUUUGGCAACAUUUGGGGCUGCUAGUUCUCUAGGAUUGCUAUAUAUUACAGACUGGAAGGUAGUUCUCCAGUAUGUACCCUAUUAUAGUGGAAAAUUCAAGACAGAAGAAUAAUAUGAUGGAAUGUGUAGUAUAUUUUGAUUAAGAAGCCACUUACAAGUUGGCCAAUUUCCAAGAGUUUCAGAAAACAUUUUGGAUGGGAGCAGUUAAUUGGUGAACCACACUGGAAAGAGACUAUAUUGAUAGUAGUAAUGUAAAAAUGUUAUGGAUAUGUAAAAUGUGCAUGUUUACACCUGUUUUAUAAGUGAAAAUAUAGCCUUACUAAUUGAAACUUUU